CCUACGGGAGGCAGCAGUGAGGAAUAUUGGUCAAUGGGCGAGAGCCUGAACCAGCCAAGUAGCGUGCGGGAUGACGGUCCUACGGGUUGUAAACCUCUUUUGUCAGGGAACAAGACGCUCCACGUGUGGUGCGGCGCAGGUACCUGACGAAUAAGGAUCGGCUAACUCCGUGCCAGCAGCCGCGGUAAUACGGAGGAUCCGAGCGUUAUCCGGAUUUAUUGGGUUUAAAGGGAGCGCAGGCGGCCCUUAAAGUGAGUGGUAAAAUCCCGGGGCUCAACCGGGCCCCGCAGGUGAAACUGGGGGCCUUGAGUGCGCAGGAGGCAGGCGGAAUUCGUGGUGUAGCGGUGAAAUGCAUAGAUAUCACGAAGAACCCCGAUUGCGAAGGCAGCCUGCCGGAGCGCGACUGACGCUGAGGCUCGAAGGUGCGGGUAUCGAACAGGAUUAGAUACCCGUGUAGUC
rnacentral:rRNA from 1 species